rnacentral:rRNA from 1 species
UACGUAGGUGGCAAGCGUUGUCCGGAUUUACUGGGCGUAAAGAGCGCGCAGGCGGCCGAGUAAGUCGAAUGUGAAAGCCCCCGGCUCAACUGGGGAAGGUCAUUCGAUACUGUUCGGCUUGAAGAUAGGAGAGGGAAGCGGAAUUUCAGGUGUAGUGGUGAAAUGCGCAGAUAUCAGGAGGAACACCGGUGGCGAAGGCGGGUCUCUGGGCCGAUACUGACGCUGAGGAGCGAAAGCGUGGGGAGCAAACAGG